rnacentral:rRNA from 1 species
GGUUGCGAUCAUACCAUCACUAAUGCACCGGAUCCCAUCAGAACUCCGCAGUUAAGCGUUCUUGGGCGAGAGUAGUACUAGGAUGGGUGACCCCCUGGGAAGUCCUCGUGUUGCAACCC